CAGAGAGAAGCCUGUCACACUGAAUGGUAUCCAGAUUAGAGCUGUGAGAAUUUGGGAAAACCCUUCUCGCUAAACAUCCUAUGAAAAUUGUGAGCUUCAGAAAAAUUAUUUGUGCCACCAGAUAGAAGGCUCUUCCAUCAGAGAAAGGAGAGCGGGGCCAGUUGGACUUCAGACCUCAGACCACGCUUGGUUUUCUCAGGUUUCCCUGUACACAAAGGGAAAUUUUCCACAGAGGCCCAGCCAGGAGGUACAGCUAGAUCUUGGAGUGGCCACUGAACCUGGGCAUGUGAGCUUGGUUAUCUGUCCCCAGUGGGCUCUGUAUCAUCAACCCAUUUGAGUUUCCCAUCCUGUUGGUGUUUUUUCCCUGCUGAGGCAAUGCUUAGGUAUAAGAAAAAAAAAAAAAAAGAAAGAAAGAAAAUCAAGAUGGUGUGGCCCAGCAAAGAAAAAGUACAUGGUUCCAAGACCAAAGAUAUUGUCUGUGGUGUAAAUGUUAGUACAAUGAUAGGAUACUAGCAGUGGGAAGCCAGCACUCAGGACUUCCUGGGACAUGCCUGCCUGUGUUUUCCUUAUUUUGUGGAGGAAAUGCAGCUAUUACCUGCACCCCCUGGAAAGUCUGGGAACUCCAAUGGCAAUCAGUCUAAUCUGCUUCAAUCAUGAAGAGGGUGCCAGUCAUGCUGGCCACAGGGGAGUCCACCAGACAGCUCUGAAUUCUAGAGAGAGAGACAUAGCCAAAGGCACCAAGGGUACUGGCUUCUCUCCCUGGCCAGUCCCAGAACCCCUACAGCAUUGUUUGCCAUAAUGUACUACUUAAUAUUUUCUUCACAACUCUUUUUGGCUUAAAUCAAGUCACUGAAAAUAAACAAACAAACAGUAAAUCCUUGUGGAACAACAUGGAAGUAGAAAUGGAAACCAUGAUGCCAUGGGAUACGAGAAGUAUGUAAGAAGCUCCAAUGGAACUUAACAGAAAAUCAGCAGCAUUUAUACCCUAAACACAAGUCCUUCCUAUCCCAGACUCUGAGUCUGAGGCCUGCUUUUCCUCCUUUCAAAGGGAGACCCACAAAAGUUAGAGAGCUGAUGGGGAUGUGUUAGCAGCAAAUGGAGAUUAUCUACCUAAUCAGAAGAAAUGAAAGAGGCAGAAAAGAAAUCUUACCAUGGGAUAUAAAGUUAUCCAGUUUUGUCAGUAUCCCAAAUAAACCAUUUCAAGAAAUAACAAA